rnacentral:rRNA from 1 species
UACAGGAGGGGCAAGCGUUGUUCGGAAUUACUGGGCGUAAAGGGCGCGUAGGCGGCCUUCUAAGUCGAACGUGAAAUCCCUGGGCUCAACCCAGGAACUGCGUCCGAUACUGGAAGGCUUGAAUCCGGGAGAGGGAUGCGGAAUUCCAGGUGUAGCGGUGAAAUGCGUAGAGAUCAGGAAGAACACCCGUGGCGCAAGCGGCCACCUGGCUGCCAACUGACGCUGAGGCACGAGAGCGUGGGGAGCGAACCGG